rnacentral:rRNA from 1 species
AGCGAACGUUAGCGGCGCGCCUAACACAUGCAAGUUCGCACGAGAAACGGAGCAAUCCGCGGUACAGUGGCGCACGGGUGAGUAACACGUGGAUGACCUUCCCUGGAGUGGUGGAUAACCUGCCGAAAGGCGGGCUAAUACAGCAUGGGACCACGACGCUUUGGCGAUGUGGUGAAAGCGGGCCUCUAUAUAUAAGCUCGCGCUCCGGGACGGGUCCGCGUCCCAUCAGCUAGUUGGUGAGGUAACGGCUCACCAAGGCAACGACGGGUAGCUGGUCUGAGAGGAUGGCCAGCCACACUGGAACUGAGACACGGUCCAGACUCCUACGGGAGGCAGCAGUGGGGAAUCUUGCGCAAUGGGCGAAAGCCUGACGCAGCGACGCCGCGUGGGCGAAGAAGGCCUUCGGGUUGUAAAGCCCUGUGGGGGAGAACGAACCGUACGGGGGCGAACACCCUCCGUGCCUGACGGUACUCCUUUAGCAAGCAUCGGCUAACUCUGUG